GUCGGUGGCCAUAGCGCGGGGGUCACACCCGUUCCCAUUCCGAACACGGAAGUUAAGUCCCGCAGCGCGGAUGGUACUGCCGGGGGGACCCGGUGGGAGAGUACGUCGUCGCCGGCC
rnacentral:rRNA from 1 species